CUGUGUGUGUGUGUGUGUGUGUGUUUGUGUGUACGUGUAUAUAUGUAUUUAUCUGUCUGUAUGUCUAUCUGUCUGAGUAGGGAACUGGUCUCAGCCGUGUGAUUGGGGGAAAAUUCCACAGGAGAACCUUCUAGGAUAAAAGAGUAAACAUAAACAUGGAUCAUAUAUUCUAUAACACUGGUGCAAUGAUAUUAAGCAUCUUGGGUAUGAUAAUGGCUGUAUGCCACUGGACACAUUUAUUUAUGGGAGAAAACUUCAAUUAGUGGACAUUUCUGAGUCAUAAAUAAUGAUUAUUGUUUUCCUUAUUUUCCUUUUAAAGACAGAGAUGCUGAGGAAGGAAAUAUAACUUCAGGCUUAUUAAUGGCUCCUGAAUCCACGCUUUGCUAACUUUUGAGGGAGAGAUGGAGCUUCAUCCUAACCUGCCUCUUGGAGAGAAAGAUGUGGUAUGAUUCUAAGCCAUGAUGGGUCUGCGUGGGCAAUGUCUGAACAUGUUUCCCCACAGAAGAAAGGACUGGAGAAGGAGAGACCAAAAACUAGUAUCUGAGAUCAGGGAGCCUCUGGGAAGACAUAUAUUCCGUCGAACCUCAGGGCUUGCUUUGAUUGUACUUGGCCUAGGCCCACCUUCCUGUCCUUUGUUUAAGGAGCUAGAAAAGGCAACAAUAACAUGAACAGCCUACAUCUGUCACCACUAGGCCAUUUCCACUUCUCUUGGGUCAACGAAGACUGAGAGACCAAGCCAGAGGUCCAUUUGUCCUACCCAGUCCACAUGAGGUGAU
rnacentral:lncRNA from 1 species